UGAGAUGGAUGAAAAAAAAAUAAAAGAAAGGGAAAAAAAGAAGAAAAAAGAUGAAAU
rnacentral:ribozyme from 1 species